CUACGGGCGCACCAGUGAGGAAUAUUGCACAGUGGGGGGAACCCUGAUGCAGCAACUCCGCGUGGAGGAUGACGCAUUUCGGUGUGUAAACUCCUUUUAUAUGUCAAGAAAAUGACGGUAGCAUAUGAAUAAGCACCGGCUAACUCCGUGCCAGCAGCCGCGGUAAUACGGAGGGGUGCAAGCGUUACUCGGAAUCACUGGGCGUAAAGGACGCGUAGGCGGGUUGGAAAGUCAGGUGUGAAAUCCUACAGCUUAACUGUAGAACUGCACUUGAAACUUCUAAUCUAGAGUAUGGGAGGGGGAGAUGGAAUUAGUGGUGUAGGGGUAAAAUCCGUAGAUAUCACUAGGAAUACCUAAAGCGAAGGCGAUCUCCUGGAACAUUACUGACGCUAAGGCGUGAAAGCGUGGGGAGCAAACAGGAUUAGAUACCCGCGCAGUC
rnacentral:rRNA from 1 species